AUGGAUAGAAACGUCAAGCUACAUAGUAUUUUUUCAAAACAAAGAGAAAAAUUGUAGAAUUUCGGCGUUCAGAGGUAAAUUAUUCGAGAUUGAACUGUUGAAUAAGAUGACGAAAAACUCUGCAGUGCCACUGUGCAACAGCGUGGAAAGCCUGCCCGGAAUCUAUCCAAUUGAGAUCACAAAGGAUUUUCUUAGAACUGAUCCGUACCGAGUCUUGAAGAAAUAUACCUGGAAAAAAAUAUAAAACAAUCCAUAAAAAAGCGUGUAUCUGGUUGCUUCCCCAAAACCUUAAUCAUUUGGUGAAAUGGAGAAAGUGUUUAAAAUUAUCAUUUGCAUACCAUGAUGUACCACAGAUCGAAAACAGAUUCAUGAACCAAGGCAAUCAAUUAUGUAGUCAAAAUUAGAUGCGAUUUUUUAUGGAAGAAACUUCCUGC